UAGUAACUGCGAGUGAAGCGGGAAGAGCUCAAAUUUAAAAUCUGGUGGUCACACUGGCUGCCCGAGUUGUAAUCUGGAGAAGCGUUUUCCGUGCUGGACCCCGUGUACAAGUCUCUUGGAAUAGAGCAUCAUAGAGGGUGAGAAUCCCGUCUCUGACAUGGGCUGCCAGUGCUUUUGUGAUACGCUCUCAAAGAGUCGAGUUGUUUGGGAAUGCAGCUCAAAAUGGGUGGUAAAUUCCAUCUAAAGCUAAAUAAUGGCGUGAGACCGAUAGCGAACAAGUACCGUGAGGGAAAGAUGAAAAGAACUUUGGAAAGAGAGUUAAACAGUACGUGAAAUUGUUGAAAGGGAAACGCUUGAAGUCAGUCAUGUCGGCUGGGGAUCAGCCUUGCAGUUUGCGAGGUGCACUUCCCAGUUGAUGGGUCAGCAUCAAUUUUGACUAUCAGAUAAGGGCCAAGGGAAUGUGGCAUCUUUGAUGUGUUAUAGCCUUUGGUCGCAUGUGAUGGUUGGGAUUGGAGGAGUUUUCAGCACGCCGCAAGGCCAGGAUUCGUUCCAUGUACGUGCUCAAGAUGCUGGCAUAAUGGCUUUAAUCGACCCGUCUUGAAACACGGACCAAGGAGUCUAACAUGCUUGCGAGUGUUUGGGUGG
rnacentral:rRNA from 1 species